rnacentral:tRNA from 1 species
AAGGUUUUAAGUUAUUAAAACUAAUAUCCUUCAAAGUUAAAAAUAUAAUCAUAUUUAUAAACCUUA